AGAAGGACCAAUUUGGAAACUCGGGAUGAGGUAACCUGUGCUAAUACAUCUGCUAUCUUCAAGAAUGCUUGGUGGCAGUAUCGGAAUUACCUGAAAAAAACGUACUUCACCGGCAAAGAAACUCAUCAAAUUCCCUUACGUUCUCCCGAGACACAUUUACUGGACGAUGACUGGGAACGCCUUGUUCUGUACUGGUCCCGAACCAAGAAUGUG
rnacentral:rRNA from 1 species